UUCAAAAUCAUGUAUUAGAGUUUUAUCUAUCUUUAUGUAUAACUCCUUUUCACUUCUUGGAAAACUCUUUUUCACUUCUUCGAAAGCUCCUGUUCAAAUUCCAAAUCUUGGAAAGCUCCUUUUCACUUCUUUCUUUAUGUUUCUUAAUAACCCAUGGUCUGUAUUUAUGACUCUGCAAAUGACUUUCUGGUUACCCCUUUUAUACAAUCUAAGACAAUGAAGCUUAACCCUCUCUC
rnacentral:lncRNA from 1 species